rnacentral:rRNA from 1 species
UCGAGCGCGCCCUUCGGGGUGAGCGGCGGACGGGUUUAGUAACGCGUGGGAACGUGCCCUUCUCUAAGGAAUAGCCACUGGAAACGGUGAGUAAUACCUUAUACGCCCUUCGGGGGAAAGAUUUAUCGGAGAAGGAUCGGCCCGCGUUAGAUUAGAUAGUUGGUGGGGUAAUGGCCUACCAAGUCUACGAUCUAUAGCUGGUUUUAGAGGAUGAUCAGCAACACUGGGACUGAGACACGGCCCAGACUCCUACAGGAGGCAGCAGUGGGGAAUCUUGGACAAUGGGCGCAAGCCUGAUCCAGCCAUGCCGCGUGAGUGAAGAAGGCCUUCGGGUUGUAAAGCUCUUUUGUCAGGGAAGAAACGGUGAAGGCUAAUAUCCUUUGCUAAUGACGGUACCUGAAGAAUAAGCACCGGCUAACUACGUGCCAGCAGCCGCGGUAAU